UUAACUAAUAUAUUAAAUUAUAUAACUAGUGCAGCUCCUUUAGCAAAAAUAUCAACAGAAACUUACUAAUAAUUAUUCAUUUUACAUGCAAGAAUCAUCGAGAUCGGCAUCCCACCAAUGUCGUCCUGUACUCGAGCGAUCGAGUCUCGACUGAUUUAUAUCAUUAUGAUUAUGAUAACAAUACCUUGAAAGUAAGAUAGUGGUUUAAAAAGAAAAAGUAAUUGUUUACACCUGCACGUUAAUCCAAGUUUAAGGCGUCUAGCUGUGCCUUGUUCACACCUGUUGUCAUGUGAUUAAAAUAUAAAAGAUGACUUAGGAAUUGUUAUGGAGAUAACACUAUUGUAAACAUGCUUUGAAUAAACAGCCAUUGUUUUCAA